rnacentral:rRNA from 1 species
AGAGUUUGAUCCUGGCUCGGGGAGGAUGAACGCUGGCGGCGUGCUUAACACAUGCAAGUCGAACGAAGCACUCUUGGGUUAGAUUCCUUCGAAGGGAAGAAGAAAUUGUGACUGAGUGGCGGACGGAUGAGUAACGCGUGGGCAACCUGCCCCAUACAGGGUUGGAUAACAGCCGGAAACGGCUGCUAAAACCGCAUGGGGAAGCGCACAAGUUGGCCGCAUGGCCUGGUGUGAAAACUCCGGUGGUAUGGGUGGGCCCGCGUCUGAUUAGCUAGUUGGCGAGAGGCCCACCAAGGCGACGAUCAGUAGCCAAGCGACCUGAGAAGGUUAAGGUGGCCGGCCACAUUGGGACUGAGACACGGCCCAAACUCCUACGGGAGGCAGCACAGGUGGGGAAUAUUGCACAAUGGUUGGGAAACCCUGAUGCAGCGACGCCGCGUGAGCGAAGAAGUAUUUCGGUAUCAAGGUAAAGCUCUAUCAGGUUGCAGGGAAGAAAAAUGACGGUACCUGAGUAAGAAGCACCGGCUAAAUACGUGCCAAGCAGCAGCCGCGGUAAUACGGGGGUAUGGUGCAAGCGUUAUCCGGAUUUACUGGGUGUAAAGGGAGCGCAGGCAAGCGGUGCGGCAAGUCUGAUGUGAAGGGGAGCCCUUGGGGCUCAACCCUUCGGGACUGCAUUGGAACUACCGAACUAGAGUGUCGGAGAGGUAAGUGGAAUUCGGGGCUAGUGUAGCGGUGAAAUGCGUAGAUAUUAGGAGGAACACCAAGCAGUGGCGAAGGCGGCUUACUGGACGAUAACGGGGUGACGCUGAGGCUCGAAAGCGUGGGGAGCAAACAGGCAAGAUUAGAUACCCUGGUAGUCCACGCCGUAAACGAUGAAUACUAGGUGUCGGGGGGCAUUGCCCUUCGGUGCCCAAGGCAGCAAACGCAGUAAGUAUUCCACCUGGGGAGUACGUUCGCAAGAAUGAACUCAAAGGAAUUGACGGGGCAAGACCCGCACAGGGGAGCGUGUGGAGCAUGUGGUUUAAUUCGAAGCAACGCGAAAGCUAGAACCUUACCAAGCCUUGACAUCCUGAUGGGGGACAGAACAUGUAAUGUGUUGGGGUUUUCGGACAUCAGAGACAGGUGGUGCAUGCAAGGUUGUCGUCAGCUCGUGUCGUGAGAUGUUGGGUUAAGUCCCGCAACGAGCGCAACCCUUAUC